UCAGGACGAACGCUGGCGGCGUGCCUAAUACAUGCAAGUCGAGCGGAUCGAUGGGAGCUUGCUCCCUGAGAUCAGCGGCGGACGGGUGAGUAACACGUGGGUAACCUGCCUGUAAGACUGGGAUAACUCCGGGAAACCGGGGCUAAUACCGGAUAACACCUACCCCCGCAUGGGGGAAGGUUGAAAGGUGGCUUCGGCUAUCACUUACAGAUGGACCCGCGGCGCAUUAGCUAGUUGGUGAGGUAACGGCUCACCAAGGCGACGAUGCGUAGCCGACCUGAGAGGGUGAUCGGCCACACUGGGACUGAGACACGGCCCAGACUCCUACGGGAGGCAGCAGUAGGGAAUCUUCCGCAAUGGACGAAAGUCUGACGGAGCAACGCCGCGUGAGUGAAGAAGGUUUUCGGAUCGUAAAACUCUGUUGUUAGGGAAGAACAAGUACCGUUCGAANAGGGCGGNACCUUGACGGUACCUAACCAGAAAGCCACGGCUAACUACGUGCCAGCAGCCGCGGUAAUACGUAGGUGGCAAGCGUUGUCCGGAAUUAUUGGGCGUAAAGCGCGCGCAGGUGGUUUCUUAAGUCUGAUGUGAAAGCCCACGGCUCAACCGUGGAGGGUCAUUGGAAACUGGGGAACUUGAGUGCAGAAGAGGAAAGUGGAAUUCCAAGUGUAGCGGUGAAAUGCGUAGAUAUUUGGAGGAACACCAGUGGCGAAGGCAGAC
rnacentral:rRNA from 1 species